rnacentral:rRNA from 1 species
AAUUUUGGACAAUGGGCGCAAGCCUGAUCCAGCCAUGCCACGUGAGUGAAGAAGGCCUUCGGGUUGUUAAGCUCUUUCGGACCGAAAGAGAUCGCGCAGGCUAAUAUCCUGUGCGUAUGACGGUACCGUCAUAACAGACACCGGCUCUCUCUGUCCCUCCCGCCGCGGUAAUACGUAGGGUGCGAGCGUUAAUCGGAAUUACUGGGCGUAAAGCGUGAGCAGGAGGUUGAUUAAGGCAGGCGUGAAAUCCCCGGGCUUAACCUGGGAACUGCGCUUGUGACUGGUCAGCUAGAGUACGGCAGAGGGGGGUGGAAUUCCACGUGUAGCAGUGAAAUGCGUAGAGAUGUGGAGGAACACCGAUGGCGAAGGCAGCCCCCUGGGCCGAUACUGACGCUCAUGCACGAAAGCGUGGGUAGCAAACAGG